rnacentral:rRNA from 1 species
UACGAAGGGGGCUAGCGUUGUUCGGAAUUACUGGGCGUAAAGCGUGCGCAGGCGGUUUUGUAAGACAGAGGUGAAAUCCCCGGGCUCAACCUGGGAACUGCCUUUGUGACUGCAAGGCUUGAGUGCGGGCAGAGGGGGAUGGAAUUCCGCGUGUAGCAGUGAAAUGCGUAGAUAUGCGGAGGAACACCGAUGGCGAAGGCAAUCCCCUGGGCCUGCACUGACGCUCAUGCACGAAAGCGUGGGGAGCAAACAGG